rnacentral:rRNA from 1 species
AUUGAACGCUGGCGGCAGGCCUAACACAUGCAAGUCGAGCGGAGCGGCGGACGGGUGAGUAAUGCCUAGGAAUCUUCCUGGUAGUGGGGGAUAACGUCCGGAAACGGGCGCUAAUACCGCAUACUAUUAGAUGAGCCUAGGUCGGAUUAGCUAGGUGUUGGGGUCAAGGCCUACCAAGGCGACGAUCCGUAACUGGUCUGAGAGGAUGAUCAGUCAGCCUGGAACUGAGACACGGUGCAGACUCCGACGCGAGGAAGCAGUGGGGAAUAUUGCGCAAGGGGCGAAUGCCUGAUACAGCCAUGCCGCGGGAGUGAAGAAGGUCUUCGGAUUGGAAAGCACUUUAAGUUGGGAGGCGUUACCAAAAGAAUAAGCCCCGGCUAACUUCGUGCCAGCAGCCGCGGUAAUAC